AGCGAACGCUGGCGGCAGGCCUAACACAUGCAAGUCGAACGAAGUCUUCGGACUUAGUGGCGGACGGGUGAGUAACACGUGGGAACGUGCCUUUAGGUUCGGAAUAACUCAGGGAAACUUGUGCUAAUACCGAAUGUGCCCUUCGGGGGAAAGAUUUAUCGCCUUUAGAGCGGCCCGCGUCUGAUUAGCUAGCUGGUGAGGUAAAGGCUCACCAAGGCGACGAUCAGUAGCUGGUCUGAGGGGAUGAUCAGCCACAUUGGGACUGAGACACGGCCCAAACUCCUACGGGAGGCAGCAGUGGGGAAUCUUGCGCAAUGGGCGAAAGCCUGACGCAGCCAUGCCGCGUGAAUGAUGAAGGUCUUAGGAUUGUAAAAUUCUUUCACCGGGGACGAUAAUGACGGUACCCGGAGAAGAAGCCCCGGCUAACUUCGUGCCAGCAGCCGCAGUAACAC
rnacentral:rRNA from 1 species